ACACGACUACAUUAGAUACCCCGGUAGUCCUAGCCGUAAACGAUACUCGCUAGGUGUCGGCCACGGUGCGACCGUUGUCGGUGCCGUAGGGAAGCCGUGAAGCGAGCCACCUGGGAAGUACGGCCGCAAGGCUGAAACUUAAAGGAAUUGGCGGGGGAGCACCACAACGGGUGGAGCUUGCGGUUUAAUUGGAUUCAACGCCGGAAAUCUUACCGGGACCGACAGCAAUAUGAAGGCCAGGCUGAAGACUUUGCCGGAUUAGCUG
rnacentral:rRNA from 1 species